GACAGAGGGGGCAAGCGUUGCUCGGAAUUACUGGGCGUAAAGGGCGCGUAGGCGGGAUGGCAAGUCGGUCGUGAAAUCCUUCGGCUCAACCGAAGAACGUCGAUCGAUACUGCUGUUCUUGAGGGUUGCAGAGGAGACUGGAAUUCCCGGUGUAGCGGUGAAAUGUGUAGAGAUCGGGAGGAACACCGGUGGCGAAGGCGACUUUCUGGCCUGUUCUUGACGCUGAGGCGCGAAAGCUAGGGGAGCAAACGGG
rnacentral:rRNA from 1 species